rnacentral:rRNA from 1 species
AACGAACGCUGGCGGCAUGCCUAACACAUGCGAGUCGAACGAGACCUUCGGGUCUAGUGGCGCACGGGUGCGUAACGCGUGGGAAUCUACCCUUGGGUUCGGAAUAACAGUUAGAAAUGACUGCUAAUACCGGAUGAUGACGUAAGUCCAAAGAUUUAUCGCCCAAGGAUGAGCCCGCGUAAGAUUAGCUUGUUGGUGGGGUAAUGGCCUACCAAGGCGACGAUCUUUAGCUGGUCUGAGAGGAUGAUCAGCCACACUGGGACUGAGACACGGCCCAGGCUCCUACGGGAGGCAGCAGUGGGGAAUAUUGGACAAUGGGCGAAAGCUUGAUCCAGCAAUGCCGCGUGAGUGAUGAAGGCCUUAGGGUUGUAAAGCUCUUUUACCAGGGAUGAUAAUGACAGUACCUGGAGAAUAAGCUCCGGCUAACUCCGUGCCAGCCGCCGCCGUAA